CGGGGUCUACCACAAGUGGUGGAGCAUGUGGUUUAAUGCGAUAAUACCGCGCGAAAUCUUACCAGUUCUUGAAUAUACCUUAAAGAAUAAUUGUAUUUUUAUUAAUAUUAAAAAAUUAAAGACAUUUUAUAAUAAUUUUAUACAGGUGUUGCAUGGCUGUCGUCAGCUCGUGCCGUGAGGUGUUUGGUUAAAUCCUUUAACGAGCGCAACUCUUACCUUUAUAUUGGUAACUUCUUUUUUAACGAAAAGAAAACAACUUAUAAAAAACUGUUAGUGAUAAACUAAAGGAAGGUGAGAAUGACGUCAAGCCCUUAUGGCCCUUAUGGGCUGGGCUACACACGUGCUACAAUGGUAAUUACAAAAAGUUAUACAAUAAAGUAAUUUGGAGUAAAUCUUAAAAAAUUACUGUGUUCAGAUUGUAGACUGCAAUUCGUCUACAUGAAGGUGGAACCACAAGUAAUCGUAAAUCAUCAUGUUACGGUGAAGGGUACUUAGACCUUGCA
rnacentral:rRNA from 1 species